rnacentral:SRP_RNA from 1 species
AGACGGGUCCGGCACGGCGGCGGGCCGUGAAACUGGUCAGGCCGAAAGGAGCAGCCAUAAGCGGAUACCGCCGGGCGUGCCAUCCGGCCUUU